UGAUUAUUUGCCAAAUAAAUUGGUGCCUUGACCUUUUCUUUGUAUUUUGGAGGGUAAAUAGUUGAUUUCAUUUCAUUGGGCCCCAAUUGCAAAAGAGAAGCAUGUGCCACCGAAUUCACUCACUCCAAAUAGCUGAAAAGUUGUGUGAAAAGUGAGAAAAAAUGGCAGUGCCACUUGCAGGAGAGAGAAGCAGAUCCGAGCCUCGGAUCCGAGGGGUGAAAAUGGAUCUGAGGACUUCUCAUGAUGGAUCCGAGGUCGGAUCGUCCUGUCCUCGGAUACACUCUUCCAGAAGUACAGACGAGGGCUCGGAUCCCUCUUGUUCACACGGAUCCGAGCUCGGAUCCGUGUUGAUCAAAUUUCCAGUUUUUCGCUUCUUUCCUUUUUCUACAUUUCUGCUCCCAAUUUCUUUUGUACUUUGUCCUCUGGAUGAUCCUUACAUUUCUUUCAGCUCGUUAAUGAAUUUCAUACAUCAAUAACCUUCACAA